AGAGUGUGCACCCAGUAAUGUGCUGUGUGUGUUUAACAGUCCAUGUACUUGUCUAAUAAAAUGAACUGUUUGAGCUGAUUUGCCUCUCCUACUUUCUCCUCUUUUGCUCAUUUUAAAAUUAAAUGGACAGUGUUUCCAUCAAGAGAGAGAAUUUAGAUAAGGCUGUUAUGUUAUAUGCCACUUGCACAUGGGGAGCAGUUGUGGACAGAAGAAUGUUACUUUAAUGGUAGCUAGUUUGGAACCUUUUUGCCUCUAUUUUCAAAUUAUUUACGUGAUAUCAAAACUGUCUCCACUAAAAUGAUUGCUCAAAUGUUUGUCUUCAUGUCUUUAUUUUGUAUGAUAGUAUUCAAAGAAAGCCCAAUAUGUUCAUAACCAGAUUUGCACAAUCUGAAGGCAGGUCCCCUGCAGACAGUUCCAGAGCUUCUUGGUGGCACAAUGUGACUAUUACUGCGGGUGGGCAUACUCCUUCCGGCUGUACUGCUGAUUCCACGGGAUGUGAGCCCCCACUAAUGCCUACUAGAAAUGAAUCCAGGCCCCUUUCUCAAAUCACAAUUGGAAUGAGAGACUCAACCAGCUGUGUUAUAACUGCACUCAGCACUAAGAGCUUUCUGUUAGCUAUUAACCUGUUAACAGCCCGCAGGUGCUAGCGACCUGUCUGUGGAAGAAGGGAUAAGAUCUGGUCUGGUGGUCUGGCGGUGGCUUAAAAGUAGCCCCAUUGAGGUGCUCUGAGAAUGCCGUUUUGUUUUGAAUGCUACAGCUGCGGUGUACUCAGCUUACUAACUCCUCUUGGCAGGUCACCCUCAGCUCUGAUUGUUUGUCCACCAUGUGUGUGUUUGCUUUCAUCUGCGUUAAUUGCUGCUUCAUCUGUGGCAUCAUCGGUCACCUAAUGCUUGAAUGUUAGUGCCAUGUCUUCAUUCUUCAUCCGUGUCCCUGUCUGGGCCGCAGCUGCAGCCAAGCCGCAGUGCCUGCCUUCUGGAGGUGUCUGAGCUGUACAGCAUGGGCAAAGAGCGUAACUAAGGGAGGAAGAAUGAAAUGGAUUGGACUUACGGAAUGGUUGAUUGCAAGUUUUCUACAUGGAAUAUUCCAGUGACUCUUUUCCUGCAGGAAGGUUUUGAACAGUGACUCAUAUAUCUACUACAGGCCAGCCAUUUUGUUGAUCACAUAAUACUCAAAAUAAGAUUUUUAUCUUCUGAAAUAUUUUAUUUAAAAGAUGAAAACCUUUUCCUUCAUUAUUGCUAUGCAGCAGGUAAAAAGGAAGUGUUAGAAUCAUGAUUGUAAUUUGUAUUACUGUUUUAAAGUAAUGCGUGGCUUCUUUAGGAGUGAGGCACAGCCCUUGUGCUGCUGCUGGUGUAACCUGCUUUGUUGUGGGCGUGUUGUCGUCGUUUCACUCUCAUCCAUUGAGGGCAUAGAAGGCGCCUGUGUAGCUGGAAACGGUCCCUCAAGGAGGCGCAGUGGAUUGUGCUAUGCUAAUAAUAGAUAGCUCUGCUCCGAUUUUCUAGACUGGCAUGAAAGCAUUGCCAUUCGGUUUUCAUAGGAGGAUCUUGUUGGAAGAAGUGCAUUAUUUACUAUAGAUUCCUAAAAGCUAAAAGUACCAAAAGCUGCAGGUGUCUGUUACAUUUUUACGUCACGUUUUAUGUCAUUGCCACAUAUUUCAGUUUGUUGAUUACCUGUGGUCAGAAAAAGGACCAUUUUUCUCUUCUCUGUACUUUAAAGUAUUUCUACAUGAAUGUUAGAACUUUAUGUAAGUAGCUAAAAUAAAACAUGUUGACUAGGAUGUAGUUUGAUGAAUUUA
rnacentral:lncRNA from 1 species